GUACAGGGCAGACAGAGGCAUUCAGCUAGAGCUGAAAGUUAGUGCUGCUCACAGCAGGGAAGAGCAGAGCCCUCCCCCUAUGCCCAGCCCCCUUCCCCACCACCCCCGUGCCUGGUGCUACCCCCUGGCUGCCUCCCAGAGCUCCAAUCUGAAUCCUGGAAUCCUGGAGGGCCGGACCUCAGGGACUUCGACCUUCUCCUUCCAGGACCUUCAUGGACAAAGGAAAAACUGCUGCCCCCACAGGGUGCAGCCCUUCCUGGAUGUGCAGACUCUAUCUCAUCCUCGGCUCAGUACCUGGGAACUGCAAGGCUCCCAGUAAACAGUGUGAAUGAGGGAAGGAAGGCAGAGAUGGGCAACUAAGAUGUGGGUCAGUACCUGCCCUGCAUACCUCACCAGCUCAGCUUCUGGGAAAUAACCUGAAAAAACAGACAGGCAAGAAGGUGCUUUAAGAUCCCUAGAGGGCUUCCCGGAAGCACUCUUGGUGUGGAAGGACCUUGCAGAUCACUGAGCUGAUCCUCCGGAGUUGGAUCACAGCUUGUGGGAAGAGCCCCAGCUUGGAGCCCAGACAGACCUGGGUUCUAGUCCUGA